rnacentral:rRNA from 1 species
UACGGGGGGGGCAAGCGUUGUUCGGAAUUACUGGGCGUAAAGGGCUCGUAGGCGGCCAACUAAGUCAGACGUGAAAUCCCUCGGCUUAACCGGGGAACUGCGUCUGAUACUGGAUGGCUUGAGAUUGGGAGAGGGAUGCGGAAUUCCAGGUGUAGCGGUGAAAUGCGUAGAUAUCAGGAGGAAUACCGGUGUGUAGACGGCUCUCUGGACCGCAACUGACGCUGAAACACGAAAGCGUGGGUAGCAAACAGG